GACGAAGGGGGCUAGCGUUGUUCGGAAUUACUGGGCGUAAAGCGUGUGUAGGUGGUUGUCUUAGUCAGGUGUGAAAGCCUUGAGCUCAACUCAAGAAAUGCACUUGAUACUGGGCAGCUAGAGGACCGGAGAGGAUAGUGGAAUUCCCAGUGUAGUGGUGAAAUACGUAGAGAUUGGGAAGAACACCAGUGGCGAAGGCGGCUAUCUGGACGGUUUCUGACACUAAGACACGAAAGCGUGGGGAGCAAACAGG
rnacentral:rRNA from 1 species